GAGGGCAGAGCUCAGUGGUAGAGCACAUGCUUAGCAUGUGGGUUCCAUCCUGGGUUCAAUCCCCAGUCCCUCCA
rnacentral:tRNA from 1 species